rnacentral:rRNA from 1 species
AGAGUUUGAUCAUGGCUCAGGAUGAACGCUAGCUACAGGCUUAACACAUGCAAGUCGAGGGGCAGCAUGUUGGUUGCUUGCAACCAACGAUGGCGACCGGCGCACGGGUGAGUAACGCGUAUCCAACCUACCCUUGUCCAUCGGAUAACCCGUCGAAAGGCGGCCUAACACGAUAUGCGGUUCACAGCAGGCAUCUAACGUGAACGAAAUGUAAAAGGNGAAGGAUGGGGAUGCGUCUGAUUAGCUUGUUGGCGGGGUAACGGCCACCAAGGCUACGAUCAGUAGGGGUUCUGAGAGGAAGGUCCCCCACAUUGGAACUGAGACACGGUCCAAACUCCUACGGGAGCA